rnacentral:rRNA from 1 species
UCGGAGAGUUUGAUCCUGGCUCAGGACGAACGCUGGCGGCGUGCCUAAUACAUGCAAGUCGAGCGAACAGAAGGGAGCUUGCUCCCGGAUGUUAGCGGCGGACGGGUGAGUAACACGUGGGUAACCUGCCUGUAAGACUGGGAUAACUCCGGGAAACCGGAGCUAAUACCGGAUAGUUCCUUGAACCGCAUGGUUCAAGGAUGAAAGACGGUUUCGGCUGUCACUUACAGAUGGACCCGCGGCGCAUUAGCUAGUUGGUGGGGUAAUGGCUCACCAAGGCGACGAUGCGUAGCCGACCUGAGAGGGUGAUCGGCCACACUGGGACUGAGACACGGCCCAGACUCCUACGGGAGGCAGCAGUAGGGAAUCUUCCGCAAUGGACGAAAGUCUGACGGAGCAACGCCGCGUGAGUGAUGAAGGUUUUCGGAUCGUAAAGCUCUGUUGUUAGGGAAGAACAAGUGCGAGAGUAACUGCUCGCACCUUGACGGUACCUAACCAGAAAGCCACGGCUAACUACGUGCCAGCAGCCGCGGUAAUACGUAGGUGGCAAGCGUUGUCCGGAAUUAUUGGGCGUAAAGGGCUCGCAGGCGGUUUCUUAAGUCUGAUGUGAAAGCCCCCGGCUCAACCGGGGAGGGUCAUUGGAAACUGGGAAACUUGAGUGCAGAAGAGGAGAGUGGAAUUCCACGUGUAGCGGUGAAAUGCGUAGAGAUGUGGAGGAACACCAGUGGCGAAGGCGACUCUCUGGUCUGUAACUGACGCUGAGGAGCGAAAGCGUGGGGAGCGAACAGGAUUAGAUACCCUGGUAGUCCACGCCGUAAACGAUGAGUGCUAAGUGUUAGGGGGUUUCCGCCCCUUAGUGCUGCAGCUAACGCAUUAAGCACUCCGCCUGGGGAGUACGGUCGCAAGACUGAAACUCAAAGGAAUUGACGGGGGCCCGCACAAGCGGUGGAGCAUGUGGUUUAAUUCGAAGCAACGCGAAGAACCUUACCAGGUCUUGACAUCCUCUGACAACCCUAGAGAUAGGGCUUUCCCUUCGGGGACAGAGUGACAGGUGGUGCAUGGUUGUCGUCAGCUCGUGUCGUGAGAUGUUGGGUUAAGUCCCGCAACGAGCGCAACCCUUGAUCUUAGUUGCCAGCAUUUAGUUGGGCACUCUAAGGUGACUGCCGGUGACAAACCGGAGGAAGGUGGGGAUGACGUCAAAUCAUCAUGCCCCUUAUGACCUGGGCUACACACGUGCUACAAUGGACAGAACAAAGGG